UCAAGUUAUUAAGGGUGCAGGGCGGAUGCCUUGGCACUAGGAGCCGAUGAAGGACGUGAUAAGCUGCGAUAAGCUUCGGGGAGUUGCACGUAAACUUUGAUCCGAAGAUUUCCGAAUGAGGAAACUCACUUAGAGUAAUGUCUAAGUAUCAUUAAGUGAAUACAUAGCUUAAUGAGGGGAACUCAGGGAACUGAAACAUCUAAGUACCUGAAGGAAGAGAAAGAAAUUCGAUUCCGUAAGUAGCGGCGAGCGAACGCGGAUUAGCCCAAACCAAUAAAGUUUUCUUUAUUGGGGUUGCGGACAUAUCAUAACGAAGAGGUAUCGUAAUUGAAGAGGUUUGGAAAGACACACCACAGAAGGUAAUAGUCCUGUAUGUUAAACGAGAAGACUUCAGAUAUGAUCCAGAGUACCACGGGACACGUGAAACCCUGUGGGAAGCAGGAGGGACCACCCUCCAAGGCUAAAUACUACCUAGUGACCGAUAGCGUAUAGUACCGUGAGGGAAAGGUGAAAAGAACCCCGGGAGGGGAGUGAAAUAGAACCUGAAACCCUGCACUUACAAGCUGUGGAAGCACAUUUCUUGUGUGACCGCGUACUUUUUGUAGAACGGGCCAACGAGUUACGUUAAGUAGCAAGGUUAAGCACUUAAGGUGCGGAGCCGUAGCGAAAGCGAGUUUUAACUGAGCGUUCAGUUACUUGACGUAGACCCGAAACCGGGCGACCUACCCAUGAGCAGGAUGAAGCGAAAGUAAAAUUUCGUGGAGGUCCGAACCCACGAGCGUUGAAAAGCUCGGGGAUGACUUGUGGGUAGCGGUGAAAUUCCAAUCGAGCCCGGAGAUAGCUGGUUCUCCCCGAAAUAGCUUUAGGGCUAGCCUCAAGGUGAGAGAUACGGAGGUAGAGCACUGAAUGUCCUAGGGGGUAUUGCACCUACCGAAGACUAUCAAACUCCGAAUGCCGUCAUCUUAUACUUGGGAGUCAGACUGUGGGUGAUAAGAUUCAUAGUCGAAAGGGCAACAGCCCAGAUCGUCAGCUAAGGUCCCUAAAUGUAAGUUAAGUGGUAAAGGAUGUGGGAUUGCACAGACAACCAGGAUGUUGGCUUAGAAGCAGCCACUCAUUCAAAGAGUGCGUAAUAGCUCACUGGUCGAGUGAUCCUGCGCCGAAGAUUUCCGGGGCUAAAACUUACUACCGAAGCUACGGCAUCAUUAUGAUGGGUAGGGGAGCUUCCCAUACGGGUUGAAGCAUGACCGUAAGGACAUGUGGACAGUAUGGGAGUGAGAAUGUUGGCAUGAGUAGCGAGAUGUGGGUGAGAAUCCCACAGGCCGUAAACCCAAGGUUUCCAGGGGAAGGUUCGUCCGCCCUGGGUUAGUCGGGACCUAAGCUGAGGCCGAAAGGCGUAGGUGAUGGACAACAGGUUGAUAUUCCUGUACUACCGAUAACCAUUUGAGAGAAGGGAUGACACAGUAGGAUAAGCUAAGCACACUGUUGGUUAUGUGUGCCCAAGCAUUGAGGCAGUCAAAGUAGGCAAAUCCGCUUUGAUAAUGCUGGGAUGUGAUGGGGAGCGAAAUUUAGUAGCGAAGUAGCUGAUUUCACACUGUCAAGAAAAGUCUCUAUCGAGGUUAAAGGUACCCGUACCGCAAACCGACACAGGUGGGUGAGGAGAGUAUCCUAAGGCCAGCGAGAGAACUGUUGUUAAGGAACUCGGCAAAAUGACCCCGUAACUUAGGGAUAAGGGGUGCCACCAUCAGGUGGCCGCAGAGAAUAGGCCCAAGCGACUGUUUACCAAAAACAUAGGUUUCUGCUAAGUCGCAAGACGAUGUAUAGGAGCUGACGCCUGCCCGGUGCUGGAAGGUUAAGGGGAUCUGUUAGAGCAAUCGAAGCAGUGAACUUAAGCCCCAGUAAACGGCGGCCGUAACUAUAACGGUCCUAAGGUAGCGAAAUUCCUUGUCGGGUAAGUUCCGACCCGCACGAAAGGCGUAACGAUUUGGGCACUGUCUCAACAACAGACUCGGUGAAAUUGUAAUUCCGGUGAAGAUGCCGGAUACCUGCGACAGGACGGAAAGACCCCAUGGAGCUUUACUGUAGCUUGACAUUGGGUCUUGGUACUACAUGUACAGGAUAGGUGGGAGGCUUUGAAACCAGGACGCCAGUUUUGGCGGAGCCAUCCUUGGGAUACCACCCUUGUAGUACUGGGACUCUAACCAUAGGCCAUGAAUCUGGUCUUGGGACACUGUCAGGUGGGCAGUUUGACUGGGGCGGUCGCCUCCCAAAAGGUAACGGAGGCGCUCAAAGGUUCUCUCAGUACGGUCGGAAAUCGUACGUAGAGUGUAAAGGCAAAAGAGAGCUUGAUUGCAAGACAUACAGGUCGAGCAAGGAUGAAAAUCGGACUUAGUGAUCCGGUGGUUCUGCGUGGAAGGGCCAUCGCUCAACGGAUAAAAGCUACCCUGGGGAUAACAGGCUUAUCUCCCCCAAGAGUCCACAUCGACGGGGAGGUUUGGCACCUCGAUGUCGGCUCAUCACAUCCUGGGGCUGUAGUAGGUCCCAAGGGUUGGGCUGUUCGCCCAUUAAAGUGGUACGCGAGCUGGGUUCAGAACGUCGUGAGACAGUUCGGUCCCUAUCCGUCGCAGGCGUAGGAAAUUUGAGAAGACCUGUCCUUAGUACGAGAGGACCGGGAUGGACGUACCUCUGGUGUACCAGUUGUUCUGCCAAGGGCAUGGCUGGGUAGCUAUGUACGGAAUGGAUAAGCGCUGAAAGCAUCUAAGCGCGAAGCCAACUUCAAGAUAAGAUUUCCCACCGCAAGGGUAAGACUCCAGAAAGACUAUCUGGUUGAUAGGUCGAAGGUGUAAGUGCAGCAAUGUAUUUAGCUUAUCGAUACUAAUAGGUCGAGGACUUGACCAA
rnacentral:rRNA from 1 species